rnacentral:rRNA from 1 species
CCCUUAGAGUUUGAUCCUGGCUCAGAUUGAACGCUGGCGGCAUGCCUUACACAUGCAAGUCGAACGGCAGCACGGGGGCAACCCUGGUGGCGAGUGGCGAACGGGUGAGUAAUAUAUCGGAACGUAUCCUGUAGCGGGGGAUAACCUAUCGAAAGAUGGACUAAUACCGCAUACGAUCUAUGGAUGAAAGCGGAGGACCGCAAGGCUUCGCACUAUAGGAGCGGCCGAUAUCGGAUUAGCUAGUUGGUGGGGUAAAAGCCUACCAAGGCAACGAUCCGUAGCUGGUCUGAGAGGAUGAUCAGCCACACUGGAACUGAGACACGGUCCAGACUCCUACGGGAGGCAGCAGUGGGGAAUUUUGGACAAUGGGCGCAAGCCUGAUCCAGCCAUGCCGCGUGAGUGAAGAAGGCCUUCGGGUUGUAAAGCUCUUUCGGCAGGAACGAAAUGGUUCGUGCUAAUACCAUGAACUGAUGACGGUACCUGAAGAAGAAGCACCGGCUAACUACGUGCCAGCAGCCGCGGUAAUACGUAGGGUGCGGGCGUUAAUCGGAAUUACUGGGCGUAAAGCGUGCGCAGGCGGUUUCUUAAGUCAGAUGUGAAAGCCCCGGGCUUAACCUGGGAACUGCGUUUGAAACUGAGGGACUAGAGUGUGGCAGAGGGGGGGUGGAAUUCCACGUGUAGCAGUGAAAUGCGUAGAUAUGUGGAGGAACACGAUGGCGA